AAUCUUACUCUGAGAAUGUCGAAAUUCACCACUCAAUGUUUCAAAACCGCUGUCGGUCAUCGUAACGGCUGUACGGUUACUGGCGCGUCUAGCAGGCUGUGAUGGUUGUGUUCAUGGAGGAAAUGAUGUCGGUGCAGUUGUCGAAGACGUCCGUUCCAGAUAAUGUUGUAAUUCAACAGGUUACAGUGUUGAGAAUGGUUAUGUGGAAGAAAAAGCAACAGCAUGCACAGCUUUGAAAGAGAUUGCAGAAAAUACUGGGCAAAUUUACUCAUGCUUCGAAAACUGGAAGUAUCCGCAUGCCUUUCUCUUUCCUCCCACCUGCGACGAGGCCCAAACUUUGCGCACACUAGGCCCCACCGUGGUUCGCAGACCAUGUUAAGCUGUGGGUUCCUUCAGCCAGCUUCGUGACCCUAACACUGCGAAAGAACACAACACCAGUCUGCGGACUACCAGUUCCAGGUGGAUGAUGGACAUGAUAGAGAGCCAUUUCGCAAACAUUUCCAGAGCAAUCAUAUUGUUUAUUUUGAAAGCCACAGUGCUUUAGGUCGUGACACAAGUUCGUUAAUGUCUCUGUGGUUUCAUGCUGUAACGGAUUUGAUCAACGUGUUGCAAGGCAACAGCUCUGUAAACACGGUCCAACACGAAACAUUAGAGGAGGCCGUGUUUUCGAUAUUCGCCGUGAGACC